AAUCGGCCAUCUCUAAAAUAAUCCUAGCCCCCUUUCCUUGAUUCUUCCUCAAUCAAAUCCCAAAUCUCUACCCUCAGACGCCGUACCCUCGCCUCUAACAGUGGCCGACGGUGAGUAAAUCUUCCCUUUCUAACCUCAUUUAGAAAAACAUUUAAGAAUCUAACACCUUCAACCACAAAGAAUCAAAAGAACGUCUCAACCUUGGUUGGAUUCAGUUUUAACGGAGGAGAAACUCUGACGAUAUUCCAACGAUUCUGGUGAGCCCUUAUCCUUUAUCCUCUUCUUUUUUGUUUAUAGUAGAUGCGAAAAUGAAAGCAAAAAAGCAACGAAAAAAAUUGAAAUAUAAUAAAUCACCUUCGAAUAAUAUUGAUUUUCUAAUUAUUCUUGUAUUUCAUUUAGUAUCCGUAUUGUAUUUCUGUAAAAAAAAAGAUCCCUUUACACUUGACUUCAUUCGGUUUUAUAGCUGAAAAAUAAAAAUAAAAAUAAAAUAAGAAAAUACAAAUUUUCUUGCUGUUAUUGGCUGUCAAUUGCUGCUUGCUGUUGUGGGUGUUAGUCUGUUGCAGGUGUGUAUGGCGUGGAGAAGCCGUUCGUGGGCGUGUUGACGUGAGCGUGAAGCAACGGCGCGUGUGGAAGCUGGCACGAAGGCAGCAGUGGUGUUGGAAGCUGCUAGAAACCAAUUGCGGCGCAAGGGAAAGAAACCCUUAGGGUUUCUGCUAAAAAAUGUCUUGGGCCGUUUGGGCCUGUCUCAGGAUAAUUGGGUAGGGUUUCAAUUGGGUUAAGGCUAUUAGGAAUUUAGGUUAAUAAUUUGCUUGUAAGUAGGCUAGGUAAUUGGGCUUGUAACAUGGACAUUGAAUUGCUAUUAUUGGGUUUUAUUUUGUUAUUAUUAUUUUUUAUUUUGGCUUUGGUAUGGUUUUGGUUUUAGUUUAGGCCCGGACAAAAUGAGCCUAUUACAUGGAGUGUCACACAUUUGAUUACUAUUAUUCCAUACAAAUUAGGUAAAAGUAAUGUAGAAUUAUAAAACGUUCUAUAACUUUUAUAACACUUAGGAUACUAAAUACAUUAUACAUGAAUAAUAUAGAAUUUAUAAUAUAAUCUUUAUAAACCUAAAUUUCUAUUAAUGGUACUGGCAUGAAAUGUGCUUUAAAACCUAAUUUCCUAAAUGAAACAUACUUUAACUGAAGAAAAUAAAAACGAACCCAAAAUUUGAAACUUUGCAAAACAUCCCGAUCCAUUGAACCAGAGAUCACUUUGAAAGUUUGAGUCAGGAAGGUAACUUGGGUGCUUUGGUGUAUCGAUUUUAUGCACAUUUUGAUUUCAAUUAAUGAUCCAAAAAAAAAAAUGAUAUAGUUCGUCACUAAGGUAGAAAAUUCUACAACCAAAUAUAUGAAAUGCCAAG
rnacentral:lncRNA from 1 species